rnacentral:rRNA from 1 species
GACGAACGCUGGGGGCGUGCCUAACACAUGCAAGUCGAACGAGGUCCAUCCUUCGGGAGAAGACCUAGUGGCGAACGGGUGAGUAACACGUGAAGAACCUGCCCCGAAGACCGGGAUAACCUCCGAAAGGAGAGCUAAUACCGGAUACCCCCACCGAACCGCAUGGUUUGGUGAGGAAAUGGAUUCCGCUUCGGGAGGGCUUCGCGGCCUAUCAGCUAGUUGGUGGGGUAACGGCCCACAAGGCAUCGACGGGUAGCUGGUCUGAGAGGACGAUCAGCCACACUGGGACUGAGACACGGCCCAGACU